rnacentral:sRNA from 1 species
CCCUUUGUACACACCGCCCGUCGCUACUACCGAUUGAAUGGCUCAGUGAGGCGUUCGGACUGGCUCGGGGAGGUUGGCAACGACCACCCCAAGCCGGAAAGUUCGUCAAACUCGGUCAUUUAGAGGAAGUAAAAGUCGUAACAAGGUCUCCGUAGGUGAACCUGCGGAGGGAUCAUUACACAAAAAAAUAUGAAGGCUGACUGCAGCUGACCUACAUGGCCAGUUUGCUCGAGGCUGAAUUAUUUUUUCACCCAUGUCUUUUGCGCACUUGUUGUUUCCUGGGCGGGUUCGCCCGCCACCAGGACCACACCAUAAACCUUUUUAUCUGUAGUUGCAAUCAGCGUCAGUAACAAGUAAAUAAUCAUUUACAACUUUCAACAACGGAUCUCUUGGUUCUGGCAUCGAUGAAGAACGCAGCGAAAUGCGAUACGUAGUGUGAAUUGCAGAAUUCAGUGAAUCAUCGAAUCUUUGAACGCACAUUGCGCCCUUUGGUAUUCCAAAGGGCAUGCCUGUUCGAGCGUCAUUUGUACCCUCAAGCUUUGCUUGGUGUUGGGCGUUUUUGUCUUUGGCUACAGCCCGAAGACUCGCCUUAAAACGAUUGGCAGCCGGCCUACUGGUUUCGCAGCGCAGCACAUUUUUGCGCUUGCAAUCAGCAAAAGAGGUUGGCGAUCCAUCAAGUCUUACUUUCUCACUUUUGACCUCGGAUCAGGUAGGGAUACCCGCUGAACUUAAGCAUAUCA